UACAGAGGGUGCAAGCGUUAAUCGGAAUUACUGGGCGUAAAGCGCGCGUAGGUGGUUCGUUAAGUUGGAUGUGAAAUCCCCGGGCUCAACCUGGGAACUGCAUUCAAAACUGGCGAGCUAGAGUAUGGUAGAGGGUGGUGGAAUUUCCUGUGUAGCGGUGAAAUGCGUAGAUAUAGGAAGGAACACCAGUGGCGAAGGCGACCACCUGGACUGAUACUGACACUGAGGUGCGAAAGCGUGGGGAGCAAACAGG
rnacentral:rRNA from 1 species